UCACCCAAAAUAUCAAUCACUAGCACGUACGAAUUAUAUGGUAGUACAUUAUAUUGCAAGAGAUCCGGCGGGCUGUGACGACAGAACUGAAGAUCGAGAGGCAUAGAAAGAUAGAUCGAUGGAGACAGUCAUCAGGGCGGCGGACGGGGCGGCAAAGAAGGCGGCGCCGCCGCCGCCGCCCUCAGCCGAGACGGCGACGGGGUGGAAGGCGCCCGCGGCGAUGGUGCUGGUGCAGCUGUUCAACACGGGGAUGGUGCUGCUGUCCAAGGUGGCCAUCGGCGGCGGCAUGUUCGUCUUCGCCCUGCUCGCCUACCGCAGCAUCUUCGGCGCCGCCAUCAUUCUCCCCUUGGCGCUUCUCCGAGAGAGGGGGAAGUGGAGAGAGAUGGACUGGCCAGCUGCUGGAUGGAUCUUCCUCAACGCGUUCAUCGGCUAUGCCGUGCCAAUGAGCCUGUACUACUAUGGCUUGCAAGAUACAACAGCAUCCUACGCCGUCAUCUUUCUGAAUAUAAUUCCACUGACAACCUUCAUCCUCUCCCUCGUGUUCAGAAUGGAGGCAUUGCGAGUCAGGAGCAAGGCUGGAUCGCUGAAGAUUGCGGGCGUCAUGCUCUCCGUCGGAGGCACGAUGCUCAUCAGCAUCUACAAGGGGAAGACGCUGCAUCUAUGGAACUCCGUUCUUCACUACCACAAAGAACAGCAAAUGGAAGUUGCAACCCAUCAGCUACGGGGGACAAUGUUGUUGGUUGGAAGCAGCUUCGCGUUUGCUUGCUGGUACCUAAUACAGUCGAAGGUUCUGAACGUGUAUCCGUACAAAUACUGGUCAUCCAUGGCGACGUGCUUGGUUGGAGGGUUUCAAACAGCACUUGUUGGAGUUAUAUUGAGGAGAGACAAGAGUGCUUGGAAGAUAGGAUGGGAUAUAAACCUCGCGACUAUUGUGUACUCGGAAAUACAAUGCGCUAAACUAACUGCAAGGAAAUUAACGUUACACCAUCCUGGUGCAGGGGGCACUCGCGACGGCAGGAAAAUAUAGUUUGAACUCGUGGGCUGUGGUUAAGAAAGGCCCAGCAUACCCUCCAAUGUUCAGUCCAUUAUCAGUAGUCUUCACUGUUGUAUUUGGCUCCAUCUUCAUAGGGGAUGACAUCACAGUAGGAAGCCUCAUCGGCACAGCAAUGGUGAUUGCUGGGAUCUAUGUCUUCCUCUGGGCUAAGGCAAAGGAGCUACCUGAGAAGUAGAUAUGUCAGGGGGUAAACAGAGUCAUUGUAAACUACAUACACAACAUAUACAAUCUGUAUUUUGGUACAAAUUUACAGUAGAGCAAUUCUAUUUUUGUUUCA